rnacentral:rRNA from 2 species
CGUGUCGUGAGAUGUGGUUAAGUCCGCAACGAGCGCAACCCUUGUCUUUAGUUGUCCAUCAUUAAGUUGGGCACUCUAAAGAGACUGCCGAUGACAAAUCGGAGGAAGGUGGGGAUGACGUCAAAUCAUCAUGCCCUUUAUGUCCUGGGCUACACACGUGCUACAAUGGUCGGUACAACGAGAAGCAAGUCAGCGAUGGCAAGCAAAUCUCUAAAAGCCGAUCCCAGUUCGGAUUGCAGGCUGCAACUCGCCUGCAUGAAGUCGGAGUUGCUAGUAAUCGCGGAUCAGAAUGCCGCGGUGAAUGCGUUCCCGGGUCUU